GCAUGUGGGAGGAGGCUGUGUUCCCUUCAGUGGUCUUUGGACCCUAACACCCUCCUCCCACCCAGCACUGGUCUUUUUCGGUCCUCUCCACCUGUACAGUGGGUCCCAACUGACAUAGCAGAGGGCUGCUGAGCUGCGUACGGCCCGCGGGUUUGAGCCUGGAGCUCUGGUAUUCUUAGGCAGAGUUGGGCAGGGCAGGGGGGAGUGAAGGACUGACCUCUUCCUGGACCCUAUCUGGGUCUGGCAAGCCGUUUGCACCUAGAUUUCCAUGUCUAUAAGAUGACAGCCAUUCCUACUGCAGACUGUGUGAUGGGUGAGAAAGCACCUGGGAAAGCCUGACGCUGCUUGAGAAUCAGAGGGUCCGAGGGCAAUGGCUGCUCCCUAGUCCCACCGCCCACCAUGGGAUUCAAAUUCCUCUUUCCAGCAGGAGGUCUCAAGCCCCAUUCUCAUCUCACCCCCCUGGCCCCCAUGGAGGUACGUGCACGCAGGCCAGCAUUUCUACACUCACCUCCCCCACAGCCCCGGGGAGGGUAUUAACCAGAAACGGGAAGUACAAGUAAUCAGAAUGAGAAAUGAAAUCAACCUAAUCUGUCAAAGAGCCAAAAUGCAAGUAAACAGCUCCUCCGAGGGGAACCAUCUUGAGAAGAUACCCCAGGGCUCCGACUGAAGCACCAGGGUAGGUGGGAGCUCAACCUGGAAACAAACAACUCAUGCAACGGGACGGGCUCAAAAGGGCAGGAAGGCAAGAGGCGGACGCAGCCUGUGGCACAGCGUGCAGACGACAUGAAGACAAGUUUUCUAGCACUGGAAUCCCCAACAGCCCCUGGAACCCACGCACCCCUUCAUCUCUAUCCUUGUGUUCCUCCACUGUGGAGAAGGAACCGGUGAGCACACAGGUGAGCGCACCGAAGAGCCAGCAGCGGAGCGGCAGCCCUCCCAGAGGCGGCCCCAGGGAUCGGGGCCAGGCCUGGGCGGAGGAGCAUGACUGACUUUGAAUUUUUUGGUAAUUAUGAAAAAGUGUUUUGGGGAAAAGUAACAUAGGUAUUUUUGUUUUAAAAACAAAAGUAAAAAAGAUUUGCAGCCUGAACCGAAGGCUGUCCAACAGCUUUCAUCCCCGUCUUCGUUUAGUUAGAAAAUGCACACGAGUUUCAUCUGGGCACGUGGUACCCAGCUAGGCCUCAUUUCCCAAUCUAAUUUGCAGCUAGAAUUUGCCACAUGACUACAUUUUGGGUGAUGGGUGUGCCUUCCAGGUCUACCCUCAAAACAAAGGGUACAAACUUUCCUUGUUCCUUGCUCCUCCCUGCCCCCUGCUAGCUGGGGUGCAGGCCAUACCCUAACUAAUAUAAGGCCCUCCAGUAAAACAGUAAGUUACUAUCUCAAUCCUGGUCUUCCUAGUUCCCCUCUGCAGAGGCAGCCAUAGUAAUAUCUUAUCUUUGAAGAGACAUUAUAAACACACACAUAAUACCUUUGAUGUAUAUUUAUCCCCAUCAUUUUUACACCAAAGGUAGCAUAUACUUUAUGCUGUUUUAAACCUUGUUCUUCUUUUUUAAAAGAAGACUUUAUUUAUUUAUUUUUAGAGAGGGAAGGAAAGGAGAAAGAGAGGGACAGAAACAUCAGUGUGCAGUUGCUUCUUGAACUGCCCACACUGGGGACCUGACCUGCAACCCAGGCACAUACCCUGACUGGGAAUCGAACAGGUGAUACUUUGGUUCACAGGCCGGCACUGAAUCUACUGAGCUACACCAACCAGGGCUAAACCUUGCUCUUUUCCCUUAAUGAUAUAUUUUAAGUAUUGAUCUACAUCAGCCCUCAUAGAGCCAUCUCAUUUAUCAAAAUAGUUGCAUAUAAUUCCACUGUGUGAAUGUAUCAUAAAUUACUUAACCAACCCCUUGGGUGGACUUACUCUUAAUUCGCCGCAGGUAAGCCUCAUCCUCUGUCUCAAUCAGGGGGAAGUCCUCCCUGGAUGGGCAGCUGGAAGCAUAACAGAUCGGGUGAGAGUAGUGAAAGGAAGCGGUUACAGACCAGACAUGUGCUGUGCUUUCCUGGUAAGACUCAUUGGCUACAUGCCCUGGUUUCCUUCCUUCGCUCUUGAACCUCCCCUUCUCUCAGCACUGAUCAUCUGCAUUUGUUGCUAUGUAUGGACCUCUCCCAAGGUCACCUGGAGGUGGCACAGUGCAGAGGGGCAACUCCAGCCUUUGACAACUAGCAAACUGGGCUGAUAUCCUCCUGGCGCCACUGUUUACCAGAAAAUAAAGGUAAAAUGCAACACAACCCAAACAACUGCCCACUGCCUACAGACCAAGGUGCUAAGGCAGCUGAAAUCGGGCUGUCGAACUGCCAGCUACCCCACCAUAUGUCAGCUCAAAAUAUUCCUUUGCUUGUCAGCUCAUGUUGCAUUUGAAAAGCAGUCAGGACUGUCAUAUAUGAGAACAUAAAGGAUGACCUUUUCUGCCUUGGGCCAUCCUGUCUCCCAUCCAACGUCUGCCUCCACCUCUGAACUCUAGGUCCUACCCCAUGGAGUGCUGUGGCCCGGGGCCCGAAGCCACAGGCACCCUGAGCCACACACACUCACAGGCGCACACUCUGCUGAAUGACUC